AGCCCUGUUGCUGUGUCAAUAGCACAGAGGAAACAUUGGUGGUGCAGCAUGUUGAAGAAGGAAAGCUGAACGCCGAAGGUGGUGGUGUGGUGUCCCGGUGGUGGUAUCCCUUUGCUCGUUUGCUGUGGUCUUUCGUUUUCAUUUGUUUUGCUGUGCUCACUAUUUUGUUUUUGUGUUCACGGGUGUCUUCUCUUGAAACCUCCCCCGCUGCCCUCGUGUCCCCUCCACAACCACUGGCAAAACAGCAGCCGGUGCCCUCUCUUCACCCCCGUCUCAUAACGAGUUCAGGGCCACCGUGAUAGAGAGGGGGAGCUGCUGCUGUUCGGCUGUGCAGGAACCACUUCCUGUUGACCUGCAGACCACCGAGCCGCCACGCUGGAACACAGAAACCUGAGAGGAAAACACAAGUUUCAUAUAGAAUAUGACAGAGGAAGUAACCCUCG
ensembl:lncRNA